rnacentral:rRNA from 1 species
AUUGAACGCUGGCGGCAGGCUUAACACAUGCAAGUCGAGCGGGUGAAGGUAGCUUGCUACCGGACCUAGCGGCGGACGGGUGAGUAAUGCUUAGGAAUCUGCCUAUUAGUGGGGGACAACAUCUCGUAAGGGAUGCUAAUAACGCAUACGUCCUACGGGAGAACGCAGUGGAUCUGCGGACCCUGCGCUCAUCAAUGAGUCUAAAUCGGAUUAGCUAGUUGUUGGGGUAAAGGCCUGCCAAGGCGACGAUCUGUAGCGGGUCUUAGAGGAUGAUCCGCCACACUGGGACUGAGACACGGCCCAGACUCCUACGGGAGGCAGCAGUGGGGAAUAUUGGACAAUGGGGGGAACCCUGAUCCAGCCGUGCCGCGUGUUUGAAGAAGGCCUUAUGGUUGUAAAGCACUUUAAGCGAGGAGGAGGCUACUUUAGUUAAUACGUGGAGAUAGUGGACGUUACUCGCAGAAUAAGCACCGACUAACUCUGUGCCAGCAGCCGCCGUAA